CUAAUGACGAGUCCCAAAUAGAACGAAACGCGCGUCCACUAC
rnacentral:hammerhead_ribozyme from 1 species